rnacentral:rRNA from 1 species
GAUGAACGCUGGCGGCGUGCCUAAUACAUGCAAGUCGAGCGAACAGACGAGGAGCUUGCUCCUCUGACGUUAGCGGCGGACGGGUGAGUAACACGUGGAUAACCUACCUAUAAGACUGGGAUAACUUCGGGAAACCGGAGCUAAUACCGGAUAAUAUAUUGAACCGCAUGGUUCAAUAGUGAAAGACGGUUUUGCUGUCACUUAUAGAUGGAUCCGCGCCGCAUUAGCUAGUUGGUAAGGUAACGGCUUACCAAGGCGACGAUGCGUAGCCGACCUGAGAGGGUGAUCGGCCACACUGGAACUGGGACACGGUCCAGACUCCUGCGGGAGGCAGCAGUAGGGAAUCUUCCGCAAUGGGCGAAAGCCUGACGGAGCAACGCCGCGUGAGUGAUGAAGGUCUUCGGAUCGUAAAACUCUGUUAUGAGGGAAGAACAAAUGUGUAAGUAACUAUGCACGUCUUGACGGUACCUAAUCAGAAAGCCACGGCUAACUACGUG